rnacentral:rRNA from 1 species
AGGUAAGCUACUAAGAGCGAAUGGUGGAUGCCUUGACUGGUAAAGGCGAUGAAGGACGUACUAGACUGCGAUAAGCUACGGGGAGCUGUCAAGAAGCUUUGAUCCGUAGAUUUCCGAAUGGGGCAACCCAAUGUAUAGAGAUAUGCAUUACCUAUAUAGGAGCGAACGAGGGGAAUUGAAACAUCUUAGUACCCUCAGGAAAAGAAAUCAAUAGAGAUUGCGUCAGUAGCGGCGAGCGAAAGCGCAAGAGGGCAAACCCAGUGCUUGCACUGGGGGUUGUAGGACUGCAAUGUGCAAGAGGUAAGUUUAGCAGAACAUUCUGGAAAGUAUAACCAUAGAGGGUGAUAGUCCCGUAUGCGAAAAACAAACCUUAGCUAGCAGUAUCCUGAGUAGGGCGGGACACGAGGAAUCCUGUCUGAAUCCGGGUCGACCACGAUCCAACCCUAAAUACUAAUACCAGAUCGAUAGUGCACAAGUACCGUGAGGGAAAGGUGAAAAGAACUGAGGUGAUCAGAGUGAAAUAGAACCUGAAACCAUUUGCUUACAAUCAUUCAGAGCCCUAUGUAGCAAUACAGGGUGAUGGACUGCCUUUUGCAUAAUGAGCCUGCGAGUUGUGGUGUCUGGCAAGGUUAAGCAAACGCGAAGCCGUAGCGAAAGCGAGUCUGAAUAGGGCGCUUAGUCAGAUGCUGCAGACCCGAAACGAAGUGAUCUAUCCAUGAGCAAGUUGAAGCUAGUGUAAGAACUAGUGGAGGACUGAACCCAUAGGCGUUGAAAAGCCCCGGGAUGACUUGUGGAUAGGGGUGAAAGGCCAAUCAAACUUCGUGAUAGCUGGUUCUCUCCGAAAUAUAUUUAGGUAUAGCGUUGUGUCGUAAUAUAAGGGGGUAGAGCACUGAAUGGGCUAGGGCAUACACCAAUGUACCAAACCCUAUCAAACUCCGAAUACCUUAUAUGCAAUCACAGCAGUCAGGCGGCGAGUGAUAAAAUCCGUCGUCAAGAGGGAAACAACCCAGACUACCAGCUAAGGUCCCUAAAUCUUACUUAAGUGGAAAACGAUGUGAAGUUACUUAAACAACCAGGAGGUUGGCUUAGAAGCAGCCAUCCUUUAAAGAAAGCGUAAUAGCUCACUGGUCUAGUGAUUUUGCGCGGAAAAUAUAACGGGGCUAAAGUAAGUACCGAAGCUGUAGACUUAGUUUACUAAGUGGUAGGAGAGCGUUCUAUUUGCGUCGAAGGUAUACCGGUAAGGAGUGCUGGAGCGAAUAGAAGUGAGCAUGCAGGCAUGAGUAGCGAUAAUUAAUGUGAGAAUCAUUAACGCCGUAAACCCAAGGUUUCCUACGCGAUGC